rnacentral:rRNA from 1 species
ACCUCGAUGUUGGAUCAGGGUAUCCCAGUGGUGCAGCCGCUACUAAAGGUUCGUUUGUUCAACGAUUAAAACCCUACGUGAUCUGAGUUCAGACCGGAGUAAUCCAGGUCAGUUUCUAUCUAUACAUGAGUUUCUUCUAGUACGAAAGGACCGGAGAAACGCGGCCCAUAUUUUUUACAAGCCGCAGCUACUAAAUUAUGAUUUAAACUCAAUAAUAUCGUAGCCCAUAAUUUUACUCAAGACAAGAGUU